UACGGGGGGGGCAAGCGUUGUUCGGAAUUACUGGGCGUAAAGGGCUCGUAGGCGGCCAACUAAGUCGGAUGUGAAAUCCCCAGGCUCAACCUGGGAACUGCAUCCGAUACUGGAUGGCUUGAAUCCGGGAGAGGGAUGCAGAAUUCCAGGUGUAGCGGUGAAAUGCGUAGAUAUGUCAUAGAACACCGAUUGCGAAGGCAGCUCACAAAACUGUCACUGACGCUGAGGCACGAAAGCGUGGGGAUCAAACAGG
rnacentral:rRNA from 1 species